GAUGAAGAACGUAGCGAAAUGCGAUACUUGGUGUGAAUUGCAGAAUCCCGUGAACCAUCGAGUCUUUGAACGCAAGUUGCGCCCGAAGCCAUUAGGCCGAGGGCACGCCUGCCUGGGCGUCACACGUCGUUGCCCCCCCAUCUACUCCUUCGGGAUUGCGGGGGGCGGAUGAUGGCCUCCCGUGCGCCUCGUCGCGCGGUUGGCCUAAAUGCCAAGUCCUCGGCGACGCACGCCACGACAAUCGGUGGUUGCGAAACCUCGGUUGCCCGUCGUGUGCGGUCGUCGCGCAUCGAGGGCUCGAAAAAAUUGCCGAGUUCCGGCUCGGCUUUCAACGCGACCCCAGGUCAGGCGGGGUUACCCGCUGAAUUUAAGCAUAUCAAUAAGCGGAGGA
rnacentral:misc_RNA from 1 species